rnacentral:pre_miRNA from 1 species
CUUGUACUCCAUCCGUCCGAAAAUACUUGUCAUUGAAAUGGAUGUAUCUAGAUGUAUUUUAGUUCUAGACACAUCCGUUUUGAUGACAAGUAAUUCCGGACGGAGGGAGUACUUG